rnacentral:rRNA from 1 species
CCUACGGGUGGCAGCAGUGGGGAAUAUUGGACAAUGGGCGAAAGCCUGAUCCAGCCAUGCCGCGUGUGUGAAGAAGGCCUUCGGGUUGUGAAGCACUUUCAGUGGGGAAGAAAGCCUUGGGGCUAAUACCCUCGAGGAAGGACAUCACCCACAGAAGAAGCACCGGCUAACUCCGUGCCAGCAGCCGCGGUAAUACGGAGGGUGCGAGCGUUAAUCGGAAUUACUGGGCGUAAAGCGCGCGUAGGCGGUCUGAUAAGCCGGUUGUGAAAGCCCCGGGCUCAACCUGGGAACGGCAUCCGGAACUGUCAGGCUAGAGUACAGGAGAGGAAGGUAGAAUUCCCGGUGUAGCGGUGAAAUGCGUAGAGAUCGGGAGGAAUACCAGUGGCGAAGGCGGCCUUCUGGACUGACACUGACGCUGAGGUGCGAAAGCGUGGGUAGCAAACAGGAUUAGAUACCCGUGUAGUC